rnacentral:rRNA from 1 species
UACGUAGGGUGCGAGCGUUGUCCGGAAUUAUUGGGCGUAAAGCGCUUGUAGGCGGUUUGUCGCGUCUGCUGUGAAAAUCCGGGGCUCAACCUCGGACUUGCAGUGGGUACGGGCAGACUAGAGUGUGGUAGGGGAGACUGGAAUUCCUGGUGUAGCGGUGAAAUGCGCAGAUAUCAGGAGGAACACCGAUGGCGAAGGCAGGUCUCUGGGCCACUACUGACGCUGAGAAGCGAAAGCAUGGGGAGCGAACAGG